GACGUAGGGGGCCAGCGUUGUUCGGAAUUACUGGGUGUAAAGGGUUCGUAGGCGGUGCGGCAAGUUGGGAGUGAAAUCUCUGGGCUUAACCCAGAGGCUGCUUCCAAAACUGCUGUGCUUGAGUGUGGGAGAGGCGCGUGGAAUUGCAGGUGUAGCGGUGAAAUGCGUAGAUAUCGGGAGGAACAUCAGUGGCGAAGGCGACCGCCUGGCCCAACACUGACGCUGAGGUGCGAAAGCGUGGGUAGCAAACAGG
rnacentral:rRNA from 1 species